UAUUGGUUUCCUAACAAUGAACUAUUGUAAACCGUGUCAGGUCCGGAAGGAAGCAGCACUAGCAAGACAUUCAUGUGUUAUGGGUCGGCUAAUACGG
rnacentral:SRP_RNA from 1 species